rnacentral:misc_RNA from 1 species
UUUUCCCUAAUUUUCAACUUCAAGAUAGAACAUUCUCAUUAAAUAUCUGGUCAUGAAAUGACGUGGAAAUUAUUAUUAUGCAACUCUCUAUUACAUCGGAAUUUGUUCAAUGCGAAAAUAUUAUUUAAAUCGAUAUACCAAAACAACUGCUAGCUAUGUGAUUCAAGAGGUAUAUUCUCAUUACUUGAGUGCCACUCCCAUUAUCACUCCCAUCCUGAUUACUCGGACCAUUGCUCCCACAGUCAUAAAGCUCAUCGCUGCUGUCAGAAUUGUUUUUAGACUCUUUUCAUUACUUUUUGUCUCCAUGGAUUUUUUAGUUUGUGUCCCACUUUCACUUCCACUACCACUAGA